AUUGAACGCUGGCGGCAUGCCUUACACAUGCGAGUCGAACGGUAACAGGUCUUCGGAUGCUGACGAGUGGCGAACGGGUGAGUAAUACAUCGGAACGUGCCUAGUAGUGGGGGAUAACUACUCGAAAGAGUGGCUAAUACCGCACGAGAUCUACGGAUGAAAGCAGGGGAUCGCAAGACCUUGUGCUACUAGAGCGGCCGAUGGCAGAUUAGGUAGUUGGUGGGAUAAAAGCUUACCAAGCCGACGAUCUGUAGCUGGUCUGAGAGGACGAUCAGCCACACUGGGACUGAGACACGGCCCAGACUCCUACGGGAGGCAGCAGUGGGGAAUUUUGGGCAAUGGGCGCAAGCCUGAUCCAGCAAUGCCGCGUGCAGGAUGAAGGCCUUCGGGUUGUAAACUGCUUUUGUACGGAACGAAAAGCCCCGGGUUAAUACCCUGGGGUCAUGACGGUACCGUAAGAAUAAGCACCGGCUAACUACGUGCCAGCCGCCGCAGUAA
rnacentral:rRNA from 1 species